CGCGGGCAGGCGCGGCGUCCCUGUCAGCGCCCGCGGCGAGGACCCCGGGGCCGGGGCUGACGGCGUGCCCCUGAGGGGGCUCCCCGCGGGAGCGCGGAGCCGGCGACUAGUGCUUCCCACGUGCGCCGGUGUCGCGAGGGCCCGGGAGGACGCAGAGCACGGCCGGGAGAAGCAUGGGAAGGAGGCCGAGCCGGGAUCUCAGGUCCUCGGGGGCGGCGGCCACGCCAAGGACGGCAUUUAUGACACUAACAGAGAACAGGACUAUGUCAAGAAUUCUGAGGGUAUCCUUGGUGAAAAUAAAUUAAGACCACCCUCCCAGCUACAUUGUGUCUUAGAGAAGAUCGAGACAGGGUCCCUAUCAGAAAAGAUACAAAGAUUUUUACCAACAAAAAAAAACAAGUAACUAUACUCAGGAAGAACUUCAAGACACUUACGGGUUUCUUCUGUUUGAUACUGAAAAGCAGGCAAAAUUGGUAUGUCAGCGUGGACUCCGUGUUGGCAGCAGU
rnacentral:sRNA from 1 species